rnacentral:rRNA from 1 species
GACGAACGCUGGCGGCGUGCUUAACACAUGCCAGUCGAACGGAAAGGCCCUGCUUUUGUGGAGUGCUCGAGUGGCGAACGGGUGAGUAACACGUGAGUAACCUGCCCUUGACUUUGGGAUAACUUCAGGAAACUGGGGCUAAUACCGGAUAGGAGCUCCUGCUGCAUGGUGGGGGUUGGAAAGUUUCGGCGGUUGGGGAUGGACUCGCGGCUUAUCAGCUUGUUGGUGGGGUAGUGGCUUACCAAGGCUUUGACGGGUAGCCGGCCUGGGAGGGUGACCGGCCACAUUGGGACUGAGAUACGGCCCAGACUCCUACGGGAGGCAGCAGUGGGGAAUAUUGCACAAUGGGCGGAAGCCUGAUGCAGCAACGCCGCGUGCGGGAUGACGGCCUUCGGGUUGUAAACCGCUUUCGCCUGUGACGAAGCGUGAGUGACGGUAAUGGGUAAAGAAGCACCGGCUAACUACGUG